ACAGAAAUAGGAUCCGAAGAGUGCCUUUCUUGCCAACUUAGACUUGUUCUCACAUGCGACUUGUCGUUCGCAACUAUAACCGCACGGCAGCACUGGCACCCCUCUGUUUCAAGUUUCAAGCUUCAAGCAAAAAAGUUCUAAAGCAAAAUCUUUGAACAACCAAAGGCAAAAGUGAAACUCCAUGUUAGCUACUAAAGGGUCAACAACAGAGCAACCAAUUCCUCCACAAGUGGAAGAAGAAUCAAGUGUUUGCAAACAAGAAGAGGAAGGAGAAGAUGCUAAGAUAAGGGUGGUUAUAGCACAAGAGGGAAUUGAAGAGUGCAAAACACCAACUGGGUCAGGCUACAAGAUUCCCAUAGUUCAAAAAUGCCCACUUGCCCCAAGAAAGAAAAGAAGGCCAGUGCCACCUUUUUCUUCACAAAUGAAAACAUCAUCAUCUAGUGGGUUGAGCUAUGUAGUAAGGCAUGAAGAGGUAGAGACUUUCUUCCAAUCCAUGUUCGAGCUUACUAGAGUUAACAAGAGAUGUAGGAGUGUAUGAAAGUUCUUAGUGAAUAACUGUGGGUGAAUAUCCUCACAUGAAUUAUAGCAACUUCAUUGGAAUUUUA